GAUGUAUUUACGGGAUAUUUUUAACUCCAUGUUAUACAUGUAUGUUUGUCUCCUCAUUCAAAGGGCUUCCAAAGAAGAGGUGGACCCAAAGGAGACAUUGUAGACUCCGACGUGGAGGGGCUAGCUGGUGAGAAAGGGGAAAAGGUAUGUCUGGAGAAUCUGGCACUAAAGGACAGCACAGAGUGAGGAGACCUUGGACAUAAUGGUCCAACAUGGAGACUCUGGGAAGCCAGGUGAUGUAGGACCCCCUGGACUGCCUGGUCCUCGGGGGUUGAACGGCAUGAGCGGUGUGCAUGGCAGGCCGGGUAUUGAGGGUC